rnacentral:rRNA from 1 species
UAACGGCGAGUGAAGCGGCAAAAGCUCAAAUUUGAAAUCCUUCGGGAAUUGUAUUUUGAAGGUGGGUUUGGUUAGGAAAAGUUACUUUAAGUCCAUUGGAAAAUGGCGCCAUGGAGGGUGAUAGCCCCGUAAAAGUAUCCCUUUUCCUUUUAUCCAUUCCCUCCAAAGAGUCGAGUUGUUUGGGAAUGCAGCUCUAAGUGGGUGGUAAAUUCCAUCUAAAGCUAAAUAUUGGCGAGAGACCGAUAGCGAACAAGUACAGUGAUGGAAAGAUGAAAAGCACUUUGAAAAGAGAGUGAAAAAGUACGUGAAAUUGUUGAAAGGGAAGGGCUUGCAAGCAGACACAACCUCGGUUGGGCCAGCAUCGGAGUGGGGGGAGACAAAAAAGAAAAGGAAUGUAACUCAUU